UUGCCUCACCGUGCCAGGCUGCGGGUGGGAGGCUCCCCGCUGGGCCCCCGACGGCCCGCCUAGCCAAGGCGGCGUGCUUUGGGCUGCCAGGUUGGCGCGGCAGCUCCCGGAGGAGGCGUAACGGAGUGAGCGUGGUCAGCGUGGCGCCCGGGGAGGCAGAGCGGGAGCCUCCCUAGAGCAGGGGCAGGCUGGGCCCUGUCCUGGUGGCAGGGCCUGGCCCAGCAGAGCUCCCCGGUGGAAGUGCGAGGGAAUGGGACGGCUUGAAAUCAGGGCAGCAUCUUUCAAAGCAAGAGCUAUUCCAACGGUGCACCUCUCCGUGAAAUAGCCUUGGCCUGAGAAGGUUGUGCGAAGAGGCACCUCCAAGGGAACGGCCAAGCCGGGGUCUCCCGCAGAAAGAUCCCUCUUCCUGCUCCCCGAAGGUCUCUUCCUCUCUUGCCCCCCAGCUGCGAGAACCUACCCCCCUUCUGCACCAUGUCGCUGGAAGGACGGCUGCGCUGCCGAAGGAGGAGCGUCACAGGCCUCGUCUGCCCCUUCCACUUCGCUGCCCCCAAAAGCCCUCGGCUCAGGCCCUCGGCCGGGGCUGCUCUCAGAUCAGGCCUUCGACUCUCCUCUGUCUCUCUCUUCAAGGUGGCCCUCCUUAGCGUAGUGGCUGGAGAGGUCGAGCCUGGGUGUUCUCUGCUUCUACGACAUGCAGGUAGACUGCCUUUGAGCAAGGGUGCUUGGUCCUUCCAAGCACCCGAGUUUAUUUUCGUUGUUCGCUGAUGAGGCCGCUGAAUCCCUUCAGUCCUGGCUGACCCUAAGCUGCGUAUAGAGAAAUCGAUGGGUAACGCAGUGACAAAGGUGAACAAGGAACACGGGUGCCAGCAUAGCAGCACCCUCAGCAGGCGCUCCCUCCUGGUGGGCAUUCUGGGCGACUUCACUUCUCCCAGGCCAGCUCCAGAGCCUGCGCCACGGUGGGCUCUACAGGGGACGCCCGGUGCCCAGUGCGUGCUUGGAGAGGAGUCAGCAGGCAGGGCAGCUCCGGGAAGGAGACUCAGUACGACCUCAGCAGGCCCGGCCCAGGGCGGCCAGGACCAGCAGCUGCAACUGCUCCCUCAGAAAGGAGCCCCCCCCUACCCUCGGGGUGACCCUGAAGGCUACCGCGGUCAACCGUAUCAGAGGCCAUGGAGAGGUCUGGUGGGUCGGCCGUGCUCAUCUGUGAGAGCGAGGGGCCCAGGUUGAGCAAUGCCAAUCUAGAGAAUUUGUUUUCCACCGAGUCCUCUGCAGCUGCGGUUGCACCGCCUUCGU